rnacentral:rRNA from 1 species
AUCCGGCGGUCUUUUCCCGAGUGGAAACAACUGGGCCUCUAGGGGUUGGGGGGGGGAAACAGGCUUUUAAUUUGGAAAAAAUUAGAGUGCUCAAGGCAGACUUAUGCUCGAAUACAUAAGUAUGGAAUAAUAGAAUAGGAGGUGUGUUUCAAUUUUUUUGGUUUCUAGGACCGCCGUAAUGAUUAAUAGGGACAGUCGGGGGCAUCAGUAUUCAAUUGUCAGAGGUGAAAUUCUUGGAUCUAUUGAAGACUAACUACUGCGAAAGCAUUUGCCAAGGAUGUUUUCAUUGAUAAGGAACGAAAGUUAGGGGAUCGAAGACGAUCAGAUACCGUCGUAGUCUUAACUAUAAACUAUGCCGACUAGGGAUCGGACGAUGUUAUUCUUUGACGCGUUCGGCACCUUUCGAGAAAUCAAAGUGCUUGGGCUCCAGGGGGAGUAUGGU